rnacentral:rRNA from 1 species
UGGGGAAUCUUCCGCAAUGGACGAAAGUCUGACGGAGCAACGCCGCGUGAGUGAAGACGGCCUUCGGGUUGUAAAGCUCUUUGAUUCGGGACGAAAGGCCAUAUGUGAAUAAUAUAUGGACAUGACGGUACCGAAAAAGCAAGCCCCGGCUAACUACGUGCCAGCAGCCGCGGUAAUACGUAGGUGGCAAGCGUUGUCCGGAAUUAUUGGGCGUAAAGCGCGCGCAGGCGGUCAGUUAAGUCCAUCUUAAAAGUGCGGGGCUUAACCCGGUGAUGGGUUGGAAACUGGGAGACUGGAGUAUCGGAGAGGAAAGUGGAAUUCCUAGUGUAGCGGUGAAAUGCGUAGAUAUUAGGAAGAACACCGGUGGCGAAGGCGACUUUCUGGGCGAAAACUGACGCUGAGGCGCGAAAGCGUGGGGAGCAAACAGG